AGUCUGAUGUGAAAGCCCUGGGCUCAACCUGGGAAUGGCAUUGGAAACUGGGAGACUUGAGUACCCUAGAGGACAGUGGAAUUGCCGGUGUAGCAGUGAAAUGCGUAGAGAUCGGCAGGAACACCAGUGGCGAAGGCGACUGUCUGGGGGGAAACUGACGCUGAGGCGCGAAAGCUGGGGGAGCAAACGGG
rnacentral:rRNA from 1 species